GGCCGUGAUGAGAAGAGGGUCGAGUGAUAUGUGAUCUACGCUGGAAAAACUGAUU
rnacentral:snoRNA from 1 species